AGUGAACGCUGGCGGUAGGCCUAACACAUGCAAGUCGAACGGCAGCACAGUAAGAGCUUGCUCUUACGGGUGGCGAGUGGCGGACGGGUGAGGAAUACAUCGGAAUCUACUUUUUCGUGGGGGAUAACGUAGGGAAACUUACGCUAAUGCCGCAUACGACCUACGGGUGAAAGAAGGGGAUCUUCGGACCUUGCGCGAUUGAAUGAGCCGAUGUCGGAUUAGCUAGUUGGCGGGGUAAAGGCCCACCAAGGCGACGAUCCGUAGCUGGUCUGAGAGGAUGAUCAGCCACACUGGAACUGAGACACGGUCCAGACUCCUACGGGAGGCAGCAGUGGGGAAUAUUGGACAAUGGGCGCAAGCCUGAUCCAGCCAUACCGCGUGGGUGAAGAAGGCCUUCGGGUUGUAAAGCCCUUUUGUUGGGAAAGAAAAGCAGCAGGUUAAUACCCCGCUGUUCUGACGGUACCCAAAGAAUAAGCACCGGCUAACUUCGUG
rnacentral:rRNA from 1 species